GACGAACGCUGGCGGCGUGCCUAAUACAUGCAAGUUGAGCGAUGAAGCUUGGUGCUUGCACCCAUUUGAAGAGCAGCGAACGGGUGAGUAACGCGUGGGGAAUCUGCCUUUGAGCGGGGGACAACAUUUGGAAACGAAUGCUAAUACCGCAUAACAACUUUAAACAUAAGUUUUAAGUUUGAAAGAUGCAAUUGCAUCACUCAAAGAUGAUCCCGCGUUGUAUUAGCUAGUUGGUGAGGUAAAGGCUCACCAAGGCGAGGAUACAUAGCCGACCUGAGAGGGUGCUCGGCCACAUUGGGACUGAGACAAGGCCCAAAAUCCUAAGGGAGGCAGCAGUAGGGAAUCUUUGGAAAUGGACGAAAGUCUGACCGAGCAACGCCGCGUGAGGGAAGAAGGGUUUCGGAUCGUAAAACUCUGUUGGUAGAGAAGAACGUUGGUGAGAGUGGAAAGCUCAUCAAGUGACGGUAACUACACAGAAAGGGACGGCUAACUACGUG
rnacentral:rRNA from 1 species